rnacentral:rRNA from 1 species
GAUGAACGCUAGCGGCAGGCCUAACACAUGCAAGUCGAGGGGCAGCACGGUGUAGCAAUACACUGGUGGCGACCGGCGCACGGGUGCGUAACGCGUAUGCAACCUACCAUAACGAGGGGGAUAACACUGAGAAAUUGGUACUAACUACCCCAUAACAUCAGGACCGGCAUCGGUUCUGGUUAGAAACUCCGGUGGUUAUGGAUGGGCAUGCGUUGUAUUAGCUGGUUGGUGAGGUAACGGCUCACCAAGGCAACGAUACAGUAGGGGGGACUGAG